UACGUAGGCAGCGAGCGUUGUUCGGAAUUACUGGGCGUAAAGAGUGUGUAGGCGGUGCUCUAAGUUCGGUGUGAAAUCUCCCGGCUUAACUGGGAGGGUGCGCCGGAAACUGGAGUGCUCGAGCGUGGGAGAGGAGAGUGGAAUUCCCGGUGUAGCGGUGAAAUGCGCAGAUAUCGGGAAGAACACCCGUGGCGAAGGCGGCUCUCUGGGACGGUACUGACGCUGAGACGCGAAAGCGUGGGGAGCGAACAGG
rnacentral:rRNA from 1 species